rnacentral:rRNA from 1 species
UACGUAGGGUGCGAGCGUUAAUCGGAAUUACUGGGCGUAAAGCGUGCGCAGGCGGUUUUGCAAGCCGGAUGUGAAAUCCCCGGGCUUAACCUGGGAAUGGCAUUUGGGACUGCAAGGCUGGAGUGCGGCAGAGGAGACUGGAAUUCCUGGUGUAGCAGUGAAAUGCGUAGAUAUCAGGAGGAACACCGAUGGCGAAGGCAGGUCUCUGGGCUGACACUGACGCUCAUGCACGAAAGCGUGGGGAGCAACAGG